GCCGCCGGAGGUGUCCUGCAGCAGCACGGUGAGGAAGCUGGGGUCGGAUUGCCGGGUCGUGCCCAUCGUCGCCUCUAGCUCCGGGCACGGCCGGUAGUAGUUCGCCGCCCCGCCCAGCCCGUCCUUGCACCCGGCGUCGAGGCCGAGGUACCCCGCGGGGAGACCCAGCGCCUCCGACAGCAGCUCGAACAGCCAUUCCCCGAGCCGCCGCGGCGUACUCCUCAGCCACGCCCCUGCACGGCGGCGGGAUCUCCUCCGGCGAAGGCCCCUCCGGCGCCAUCUCCAUGAACAGCGUGUCGCGCCAGUUGGCCGCCGGCGGCCGGAACAGGUCGUAGUUGGAGCUGAACCGAACCUUGCUGCCGACGUCCCUGGUGUAGUAUGGCGCCUUUGCCUCCAGGGGCUCCUCGUGGAAGUACCGCACCGCUGCGAGCAUCGCAUCCGUGAGCUCCUUGGCGACGUCGUGGUUGACCACCUGGAAGAAGCCGACCGUCUCGGUGGCCACCCUGACCUCGGCAACCACCCUGCCACGCACUACCGGCACCUAUAGUGGCGACACAUAUUUGAUGUUUUGUAGUAGUGAGGGGGUCGGGCUGGUGGUGGAAGAAGUCGGGGACGGUGGUGACGCCAGCAUCGACGAGUCUCUUGACGCCGGCCUUGGUGUCGUCGAAGGCCUGGAGGUCGCGGAGGCGGUCG
rnacentral:sRNA from 1 species